rnacentral:rRNA from 1 species
ACUCAAAUGAAUAGACGGGGGCCCGCACAAGCGGUGGAGCAUGUGGUUUAAUUCGAUGCAACGCGAAGAACCUUACCAGGUCUUGACAUCCAUGGGAUGCCAGUGAAAGCAGGCAGUGCCUCCGGGAGCCAUGAGACAGGUGGUGCAUGGUUGUCGUCAGCUCGUGUCGUGAGAUGUUGGGUUAAGUCCCGCAACGAGCGCAACCCUUGCUAUUAGUUGCUAACAGGCGAGCUGAGCACUCUAAUGGAACUGCCCGUGACAAGCGGGAGGAAGGUGGGGAUGACGUCAAAUCAUCAUGCCCUUUAUGAUCUGGGCUACACACGUGCUACAAUGGGUGGUACAGAGAGCAGCGAGGCCGCGAGGCGGAGCGAAUCUCAAAAAGCCACUCUCAGUUCGGAUUGCAGUCUGCAACUCGACUGCAUGAAGUCGGAAUCGCUAGUAAUCGCGAAUCAGCAUGUCGCGGUGAAUGCGUUCCCGGGCCUUGUACACACCGCCCGU